rnacentral:rRNA from 1 species
GUUACUGCUAUCGGAGUUCGAUUAAGCCAUGCGAGUCUAAAGGUUUCUUCGGAAACCUUGGCGGACUGCUCAGUAACACGUGGAUAACCUACCCUUGGGACUGGAAUAACCCCGGGAAACUGGGGAUAAUACCGGAUAGAUCAGGGAUGCUGGAAUGCGCCUUGAUCUAAAGCUCCGGCGCCCAAGGAUGGGUCUGCGGCCUAUCAGGUAGUAGUGGGUGUAAUGUACCUACUAGCCAACGACGGGUACGGGUUGUGAGAGCAAGAGCCCGGAGAUGGAUUCUGAGACACGAAUCCAGGCCCUGCGGGGUGCAGCAGGCGCGAAACCUUUACAAUGUGCGAAAGCAUGAUAAGGGAACUCCGAGUGCCAGUAUCUAAUACUGGCUGUCCUUGUGCCUAAAACGCACAAGAUAGCAAGGGCCGGGUAAGACCGGUGCCAGCCGCCGCGGUAACACCGGCGGCCCGAGUGGUAGCCGCUAUUAUUGGGUCUAAAGGGUCCGUAGCCGGUUCGAUGAGUCCUCUGGGAAAUCUGGUUGCUUAACAAUCAGACUGCCAAGGGAUACUGUCGAACUUGAGACCGGGAGAGGUAAGAGGUACUUCAGGGGUAGGAGUGAAAUCUUGUAAUCCCUGGGGGACCAUCUGUGGCGAAGGCGUCUUACCAGAACGGGUCUGACGGUGAGGGACGAAAGCUGGGGGCGCAAACCGGAUUAGAUACCCGGGUAGUCCCAGCCGUAAACGAUGCUCGCUAUGUGUCAGGUACGGUGUGACCGUAUCUGGUGCCGUAGGGAAGCCGUGAAGCGAGCCACCUGGGAAGUACGGUCGCAAGACUGAAACUUAAA